rnacentral:rRNA from 1 species
AUACGGAGGGUCCGAACGUUAAUCGGAAUUACUGGGCGUAAAGCGCGCGUAGGUGGUUCGGUAAGUGGGAUGUGAAAGCCCCGGGCUCAACCUGGGAAUUGCAUACGAUACUGGCCAACUAGAGUACGAGAGAGGGAGGUAGAAUUCCACGUGUAGCGGUGAAAUGCGUAGAUAUGUGGAGGAAUACCGGUGGCGAAGGCGGCCUCCUGGCUCGAUACUGACGCUGAGGUGCGAAAGCGUGGGGAGCAAACAGGAUUAGAAACCCCGGUAGUCC